GACCUAAUGGCGAAGCUGGUAUCGCGUCCACACUUCUUGACGAAAUACGUCCCGUAAUUUUCAGUGGAGGUCCCCAGUUCGAACCCGGGUUAGGUCG